GUAAGUAUGGUUAAUUCGUCACUUGGUUUACCGGGUUUACGUUAUCCGGUGUUGUAUGCUGGUCUAAGAAUCGACCAAGUAGAUGACUCGAACAGAAACUCACAUAUAGAGCCUUUGCCAUGUGGUGGUUGUGUAUUUGGUGUGCCUUUGAAGUGCCCUGAUAAGGGGGGCAAGUCCCUGCUAAGCACUUGGAGAGUUUGUGUGUGUGGUUUGGCCGUGUGUGCCUGCUUGUGUGGAUGCAGCGUGGGUCUCUGCACGGACCCUGCGUGUAUCCACACUGCAUAUAUGUGUGUGUCCAUACCAGGUUGAGACCUCCUCCUUCUGGUCCCCUAGGACACAUCAGCAGUGGCUAUUAACUCUGUCCAAGAUAUCUCUUCCAACAUCAUCCUGUGGUGCUGGUGCAUGGCACCCAGGAUCCUACAGCUGAGUGGCAUGUAUUUUCUGCUAUCACAGGGGAGUUUAGGAGAGUAAAUUCCUGCUCGAGGUCUGUUUUUCUCUCCUUGCCUCUCAACCCCUGAAAGCAAAGCCCGGACAUCGGAAAGGGAAAGGGGCCAGCUAAGGGCAGCUGGAAAAGAAGGGAACUGCUCAGGGGAGAGUCACUGAAGUUCACCCUCCUCUUCCUGCCACCACCCAAGGCACCCCUAGGUCCAA
rnacentral:lncRNA from 1 species